rnacentral:lncRNA from 10 species
CAAAUUAGGACGUACUUACUGAUAUCAACACAGUUUACUUAUGAAAAUAAAUAUUUGAGCUGCUUAAGUGAAGCCAAAAUACUGUUUCCACCUUUGCUAACACAGCGGUAAAUUUCAAAGCACAAAGUGAAGUAGCUUGGAAACACCUAGUUUGGCUGAAAGGUCAAUGAUGCCAGAAAUAUCAUCCUCCUUCUGGAAGAAGCCUGGCCAAGUGAGAGAAAGACCCAGUUUUCUUAGAGUAAAAAUUACUGUAUCCAGUUUUCCGGGCCGGAAAAACAAAUAAAAUUGGGGGUAAAAAACUUAAAUAUCAAUUGUCUGCUUCUUUCCCUCCUACUAAAAGAAAUAUGACAGUACAACAAAGCAACCUUCCAUUUCACUGUGUUCCACUUUCCCUUAGCUCACCGUGCUGCAACCCAUAUGCUUUCUUGCAGUUCCUUGCCUCAGAAUUUUCACGCACACAUGUCCUCCUCCUGGGAGACUCUUCUUAUUCGGCCUGGGUUACUUACCCAUCCCUAAGGUCUCAGUUUAUAGCCCAUUUCUGUUCAGGGAAGUGUUCCUUUUAAACUCCCUUCUACUACCCUAUGCUUUUUCUUUAUAGCACUUAACACUUCGCACUUAACAGAUACCCACACAAAUAAAUGUAUAAUGUGUCUCACCUUCUAGACUGUAAUCAAAAGCUCCCUAUUUCUUUUAUCCUACACCUAGCCAAGUGUCUGGCACAGCAAGCCUUAACACUCAAUAUUUUUCAGUGAUCAGAUAAAUAAGUAAAUAUUUGUAAUUUUGACUUAACUGAACAGCUGAGAGGCAACAAUGGGAUUCCAUAGGACUUUGUAAUUUUGUGUGAAGCCACUCUUCUGCCCUUCUCCCUACUGCAACUUGCUACCCAUUUAAAUCCUGACUAGUCAUUGUGGUAUUCUUACAGCGGCAAGAAUCAUUAUUCCUUUAGCUGACUCAUUAUGAUUCCAUCAGGAUUCCAACUUCUACAACAUUUUUAGCUGCCAGUCAUUUUUCUUAUGGCAGCCUUAGAUGUCCCUUCCAGGGUACCCAAAGUGUUUUUUAAAAUUGCAGACUACCAUGUUCAACAGAAUUGCCCUCAUGAUGAUGUUUUCAAUAUUUUGUAAUAGUAGGAGUCCACUAUCAUCAUCCAAAAGCGUACAAAAAUGAUGACUUCAUCAUUGCACAUGUAUAAUAUCACUACUUGUGCCAUAUCAUCAUCUUUAGGCAUGUCCUGCCUUGCAGUGUUAGCGACUGAGUUUCUCUUCUUGGUCACAGUAGAUUUUAAAUGAAAAAUAUAUGAAAGGUCCUGGGUUAGGAAGGGCAAAAGAAAAGGAGAAACACGUUUAUUGAGCGCAUAUGUGCCAGAUAGUGUA